UACGGGGGGAGCAAGCGUUGUUCGGAUUUACUGGGCGUAAAGGGCGCGUAGGCGGUCAGCACAAGUCAGUUGUGAAAUCUCCGGGCUUAACUCGGAAAGGUCAACUGAUACUGUGCGACUAGAGUGCGGAAGGGGCAACUGGAAUUCUCGGUGUAGCGGUGAAAUGCGUAGAUAUGCGGAGGAACACCGAUGGCGAAGGCAAUCCCCUGGGCCUGUACUGACGCUCAUGCACGAAAGCGUGGGGAGCAAACAGA
rnacentral:rRNA from 1 species